rnacentral:rRNA from 1 species
GAUGAACGCUGGCGGCGUGCCUAAUACAUGCAAGUCGAGCGAACAGACGAGGAGCUUGCUCCUCUGACGUUAGCGGCGGACGUGUGAGUAACACGUGUAUAACCUACCUAUAAUACUUGGAUAACUUCGUGAAACCGUAGCUAAUACCGGAUAAUAUAUUUAACCGCAUGUUUCAAUAGUUAAAUACGUUUUUUCUGUCACUUAUAGAUGGUUCCGCGCCGCAUUAGCUAGUUGGUAAGGUAACGUCUUACCAAGGCAACGAUGCGUAUCCGACCUGAGAGGGGGAUCGGCCACACUGGAACUGAGACACGGUCCAGACUCCGACGGGAGGCAGCAGUAGGGAAUAGUCCGCAAUGGGCGAAAGCUUGACGGAGCAACGCCGCGUGAGUGAUGAAGGUCUUCGGAUCGUAAAACUCUGUUAUUAGGGAAGAACAAAUGUGUAAGUAAAUAUGCACGUAUUGACGGUAACUAAUCAGAAAGCCACGGCUAACUACGUG